rnacentral:misc_RNA from 1 species
GAUGAAGAACGUAGCGAAAUGCGACAAGUAAUGUGAAUUGCAGAAUUCCGUGAAUCAUCGAAUCUUUGAACGCACAUUGCGCCCGCCAGUAUUCUGGCGGGCAUGCCUGUCCGAGCGUCAUUUCAACCCUCGGGCCCCCCUCUGCGGGCGGCCCGGCGUUGGGGCUCAGGCGCCGUCUCUGCUCGGCGCCUGUCCCCUAAAUGCAGUGGCGGCCUCGCCGCUGCCUCCUCCGCGUAGUAGCACAAACCUCGCGGCUGGAAGGCGGCGCGGUCACGCCGUAAAACCCCCCAACUUUACCAAGGUUGACCUCGGAUCAGGUAGGAAUACCCGCUGAACUUAAGCAUAUCAAUAAGCGGAGGA